ACAGCCAUACCAUGCUGAAUAUACCUGUUCUAGAUCACCGAAGUCAAGCAUCAUUGGGCGCGGUCAGUACUUGGGUGGGUGACCACCUGGGAACACUGCGUGCCGUU